CGUGUCGUGAGAUGUUGGGUUAAGUCCCGCAACGAGCGCAACCCUUGAGAUUAGUUGCCAUCAUUCAGUUGGGCACUCUAAUCUGACUGCCGGUGAUAAACCGGAGGAAGGUGGGGAUGACGUCAAAUCAUCAUGCCCCUUAUGACCUGGGCUACACACGUGCUACAAUGGACGGUACAAACGGUUGCCAACCCGCGAGGGGGAGCCAAUCCGAUAAAACCGUUCUCAGUUCGGAUUGUAGGCUGCAACUCGCCUACAUGAAGCUGGAAUCGCUAGUAAUCGCGGAUCAGCAUGCCGCGGUGAAUACGUUCCCGGGCCUUGUACACACCGCCCGUCACACCACGAGAGUUUGUAACACCCGAAGUCGGUGAGGUAACCUUUUGGAGCCAGCCGCCGAAGGUGGGACAGAUGAUUGGGGU
rnacentral:rRNA from 1 species